UACGUAGGGGGCAAGCGUUGUCCGGAAUCAUUGGGCGUAAAGCGCGCGUAGGCGGCUCGAUCAGUCUGCUGUGAAAGUCAAAGGCUCAACCUUUGAAUGCCGGUGGAUACUGUCGAGCUAGAGUCCGGAAGAGGCGAGUGGAAUUCCUGGUGUAGCGGUGGAAUGCGCAGAUAUCAGGAGGAACACCAACGGCGAAGGCAGCUCGCUGGGACGGUACUGACGCUAAGGCGCGAAAGCGUGGGGAGCGAGCAGG
rnacentral:rRNA from 1 species